rnacentral:lncRNA from 1 species
UUCCUUCAUCUCUCUGAGCUUUGCUGUCCUCAUCUGUAAAAUGGGGAUAAUGAUACCCAUCUCUAAAAUAUGUUCUGAGAAGUAGAUUAGAUAAAUAGAGAUUAUACAUAUUAAGUAUUUAGUGCCCUCAAUGUCAAUUAACAUUGUUAUUAAUUAUAUUGUUAUUACGAAUGACUAAUAAUGACACUCAGGAUUAUUACUAAUGCUACUAUAAGUAAAAAAAAAAGCCCAAUUAAAAUUUUUUACUGAGGGAAAUAUCAACAGUUUUAUGAGGGGUAAAUAAAGAAGAGUAACACUGGGUAAGAAAGUAUAUGCACGUGGCCUCAUUUAAUAUUCAAGCAGCUUCACAAGGCAGGCCUUAUUAUCCCCAUUAUACAGAUGGGGAAGUUGAGGCUCCUGGAAGUUGCCUCCAACACACACUGAGUUAGUACCUGGUGUCCUGACCUCCUUUCUUCAAAGUCUCUCUUAAGCUCCAGCUACUCCACACCUGCCAGCCUCAGCAGAGAUGCCUGUAUCUAUUAGGGAAUGCCUUUUCUUCCCCUAGGCUCACCGAAUUACAGGAAAAUGGGAGAGCUCUAGAAAGUGGAUAAAGGUUACCUCCUCCAGGCAGUUUCCUUAUUCUCUCCCUCCUCCCCUUGUAGAACAAACCCUCCCUCUUUGUUCUUCCGGUGCCUGGAGUGUGUGACUGCACACCCUUGUAGGCUGUGUCUCUCCUCCAGGGAGUGUGCUUCUCUGAUGCAGACCCUGUACACUUUUUCACCAUGGGAGGGUAAUGAGAAAUCACAUGUCCUGAACUUGGACUCAGAGAACAGGGAACUCUUCGGUGGGCGGUAGUGUUAUGGCUCGGGAGAUAGUGGAAGACAGAGGAGCCUGGUGUACUGCAGUCCAUGGGAUUGCAGAGUCAGAUGCGACUUAGCCACUGAACAACAACAGCAAGUGUUAUGCAGCCGAUAUGCCAUCUGAGGAACCUGGACUCUUCGAUUUGAAAUGACUCUGAGGGCCCUUCAGGUAUGUAUGUUCACCUGACAGAUGAUGAAUUGUGUGCCAUGAACAAAAGAUGUGGCUCCCAUUCUCC